AACAAAGGCCAACAAACAAACAGAAUAAGAAACGGAGAGCAUUCAAAAAACAUGGGAAGAAGAGGGAAAGAAAAGAAAAGGGGAGAAUUGAGAUUUUAAAGCUUCAAGUUUGUUUGCUAACAAGGAAAAUGAGGCAUCAGCAUCCAAAGGAAAAGAAAAGAUCGUUGAGGAGUAAACUAGUAUUCCGGGUUUGUAUUACUAUAAUUCAAAUUACUUUUUAUUAAAUGUUUUAUAUAAAUUCUAUAACACCCUAUGGUACUCCUUGAAAAAUGAGAAAUUUUAUAACACCCUA